GACCAGCAGGUUACUAAUUGAAACCAGUUGCCUCGCCCACGACACCUCCCUGCGGCUUCCUCCCCGCCUGACAGCAGAGACGUGGGGGACAGAGGUGACUACCCGAGGUCACCGCUCAUGCUAGAGCCCGGGUGUCCGCGGGGCCCACCCCGAGCGCGAGCCGGAGGGCCGGGGGAAAGUGGCAGAGAGGAUGAAGAUGGGGAGCCCUGGGCCCCGGGGCUGCACAGGAGCCAGAAAACCAAAUACCAAAGACUUACCUAUUUGUUAAGUUACACCUGGUAAAUGUGACACCUGGAAACAAGUUGUGUCCAGCCUUCUCUAAACCACACGGGUGAACCCAGCCCAGCCCCGGCCAGCUCCAGCGCGGAUCCCUCAGCUAGCAAAGCCAAGGACACCCCGCCGUCACCUCCCCAGGCCAGCCCAACCCACCAGAGAACUCCAAAGGUUUCUGCAGAACUGGUUGCCCUGCACCAAGUGGUGACACCAACUCAGUCGGGCUCACCCAAACCCCAGAGUGAUUCCAAGCUCGGAUUCUCCCAAAGCUGAGAGUAUUUCAGAGAUACUCAGUGAGGCUUCCUGCUGCUUCCCACCGGCCAAGUCCCUCUCCAGCCCAGGGCUGCCCUACUUCCUGGAUGCCUCUCAGAGCGACGGUGGAGACCCUGAAGAAACCCAUCAGGAGGUCAUGAACCAACAUCAUGGGGCAGAGCCAGCAUUUGAUCCUUAAUGAGACAGGAUGGAGGAGAAAAGCACCCCUCCUGGCACACGCGAUGGGGAGGAGGGGGGGUAAGGUACCUCCGUGUCACACAGGGUAUUCUCAGGCCGCCCACCCAAACAUUCAGGAGUGCCCCCAGGCACCUGAUGGAUGCCACCUGCUGACAGGCUGGCACCCACUGGGCCUUCACCUGCAGGAGUGCUGCGGGCAGAUGCACAGGAAAGGGCAGCCCCCCCACCCCCCAGUGUCCCCUCUGGGACAUCACACACAGAGGCGCAUGAGAGCCCAGGGUUAUCCACAUGGCUCUGCCUGCAGGCCGUUUUCCACGAGCUUUCUGCCCCAUUGCUUUCGCUCUAAACCAUUAACUGGUGCUGU